ensembl:lncRNA
UCUCUUCUAUGUGGCUAUUUCUAUGCUUCCCAUGUUUACAUUUAGUUUUUGAGUCUUACUUUCAGUUUUGAAAACCAGCUUCAAACAGCUGAAAAUACAAUAUUUUUGUGUAUGUAAAAUAUAUUUCACAGUGGUUUAGAUGGUACAAUGAUUCUCUACACUAUACUUUAUUGUCACAAAAACGAAUUUUUGCGACCAGGAAAUAGCAGAGCGAUUUAUGCAUAGUGCAUCUUUAAGUGGAGUGUUUCCCCACUUCAUGACACUAUUCACUUUUGUUUUUGUAGACACCCCCCCCCCCACUUCAUGUUACAAGACUUGUACUUAGGUUUCAUUUUCAUCCAGCCACACACCCUUUCCAAGAAAUGAACGUUUUUGUAAACACAAUCUGAAAAGUCAGAGCAAAUUUGCACUGCCAGUGGAUCAACAUCCAUCAAGGUAACGUGUUCUGUUUUUACGUUAAGUAAAUACACUUUAAUCACUUUUUUAGAAACCGAGAUACAAAAACAGAACAUUCGAGAAGACGUAAGGACAACAUCUAACAAGAUGGAUAAGAUAUUCAAUAUUCUCCAGCGGCACAGACUGGAGACCUACUACGAUAAAUUCCGCACGUUUGGUGUCAAAGAUGAGAGAGAUUUCGUUGAAGACAUAACUGGUGAAGAUCUAGUCAACAUGGGUUUUACUCAAAUAGAGAAGAAUCGCUUUGAAAAAAUGAAAGUUUUCAUUCAAAGACUCAAAGCGCCACAGCAAGCGAUGCCUGUACAAAAAUCUAUGGAGGCUUUCCAACUGCGGUACACAUACCCCCACUGUCCUGAGCUAAAAGAGAUCACAGACAUGGAUCCUGCUACAAACACCGUUGAAGAUCUGAUGCUAAGGAUCUGUCACCAAGAGGGCAUUGAGAACUCUAAAGCUGUGUGCCUCUACACCGUUGAUGGAAUGCCUUUAACUGAUGAUCCUUUCUUUAACACAUGGUCUUUGAAAGACAGGCACAUUGAAAAUGGAAGUGAGCUCUAUGCCAUGUUUACACCCAAGGAGAAUUUGAAACAAGCCCCCCAAAUGCCACUGCAAGAGAUGACUGACAUGACAGGAGAGGAUAAUGUUCGAUGCCACAUCAUGCUCAAGGGAGACUAUGAACUCAAGGUGAACUUGGAAAGUGACACAAUUACAGAUCUGAGACAGAAGCUCUCUAAUGAAAGUGGAAUCCCAGCACAUGUCCUCCAUUACAAAGGUGAAAACCAUGUUGGAGACACAUUGAAAGACUGUGGAAUCAACGUGGAGUCAACAGUGCACUUUUCUUUAUCGUCUUUCCCCGAACACAAUCAAGAUCACUUCCAAGACACAAUAGCAAUCUUCCUUAAUGAUGUCGUUCCAUCAGUGCAACAAACCCAGAAAGGACUCAGUGUUUUCUUUUCUUCACUUUAUGUCAUUAAAAGGAAACAUUCUGGAUAUGGUUUCAAGAAAGUGAUUGCAUACAUCCGAAAGCUCAGUGGAUGCAAUCCUCUGGCCCAAAGUCUGUAUCAGCUGUUGUGCAGAAAUGAGAUUGGAACAGGGACCCAGAAGGUGAUUCAAAACGUAAACAUAGGCAGGCCUACAAUAUUCUUCAAUUCCACAAAUGUGUUUUGGCUUAAGAGCAUUUGUAUUCCUUUUAGAUUGUACAGUCCUUCAACAAUGGCAAUCUCUUCAGAGAGCUGCUGCCAAGUCGAAUAA